AUCCAGCUGAUGAGUCUCAAUUGGGACGAAACGCGCAUCCUACAU
rnacentral:hammerhead_ribozyme from 1 species